CAAGAUCUCACUGUCACUCAAGUUGGAGUGCAGUGGUACAAUCAUAGCUCACUGUAACCUUGAACUCCUGGGCUCAAGCGACCCUCCCACCUCAGCCUCCCAAGUAGGUAGGACUCUAAGCAUGUGCCAUCAUAUCCCACUAAUUAUUUUUUUUUUUUUUUAGAGACAGGGUCUCACCAUUUUCCCAGGUCGAUCUCAAACUCCUAGACUGAAGCCCUGCACUUACCUCCUAACACACUCUAUACUAGAAGGCUGAGGAGUGGAGCCCCACCUGAUCUUACAGCUUCUUUUCUGAACUCUUGCCUUGGGACAAUGGUGCCUGUGUAUCAAGACACUGUAAGGAGGGCAGGUGACCUGCUGACCUGCUCAGAUGACUUGGUCAUGGAUGGCCCAUCUUUCCUUGGAAAAGGACACCUUUAGGACUCCGAGUGUAAGAAGGCAUUUUGCGGGUAUAUCUUCUUUUCCCAUUAUAAUUUAAGAUUGAUAACAUGGAAGCAGUAGGUCUUAUAGAGGGCAUCCAGAUAACUGGAUAAUAAAAAAUUGAAA
rnacentral:lncRNA from 1 species